UCCUGGGCAAGGAUGAAGAGUGCGUAGUGAGAAUAACCACAUAUGGUGCAUUAUUUAAACUGAUAAAAUACGCAUACAUAAUGACAAAAAAAACGCUUAUCUAAGAGGAACAGUUGGCCGAGUGGCUGGAGCCUUGUGCCUUGUGCCUUGUGCUACGGUGCCGCACGCCAUCUGUUCAAUACCCGGCGGAUUACUUGCUGUAAUUAGCAAACACAGUCAAUUAAGACAGGGAAAGUCCAUCUUGAUUAGCUUUGCUUAGAGAGAUUUCCUGGGCAAGGAAGAAGAGUGCGUAGUGAGAAUAACGACAUAUGGUGCAUUAUUUAAACUGAUAAAAUACGCAUACAUAAUGACAAAAAAUACGCUUAUGUAAGAGGAACAGUUGGCCGAGUGGCUGGAGCCUUGUGCCUUGUGCUACGGUGCCGCACGCCAUCUGUUCAAUACCCGGCGGAUUACUUGCUGUAAUUAGCAAACACAGUCAAUUAAGACAGGGAAAGUCCAUCUUGAUUAGCUUUGCUUAGAGAGAUUUCCUGGGCAAGGAAGAAGAGUGCGUAGUGAGAAUAACGACAUAUGGUGCAUUAUUUAAACUGAUAAAAUACGCAUACAUAAUGACAAAAAAUACGCUUAUGUAAGAGGAACAGUUGGCCGAGUGGCUGGAGCCUUGUGCCUUGUGCCU